UUAAUAUUUACGACAAUUUGAGACCUAAUUGCGACUAUCAGGUCAAUUUAUGGCAAUAUGGACGAUAACAACAAAACGAGCAAUGGACGUGGCAGUAAAUUACGAAAGAGAAUCUCACACAUUUCUGAUGAGGAAGAUGAAGGCAAGGUUUUAUCUAUAACUACAUGUAGUACAACUUCCACAAAUUGUCUACAAAAAUAUAAAUAUGGAAGAAGAAUAAAGAAACUGAAGGAAAGUGAUGAAAUAGAAAAUUUUAGAACCCAAGAAUCAAUAAGGGCUAGCAUCUACAGACAAAGUCUUUCCAAUAAGAAGAAAGAAAUGGCUAAUAAAAAAGCUGCAGAAAGAAUGAGACGGUACAGACAGCGCAAAAAGGAAAACGAAAAUUGUAACCCAGCAAAAAGAACUUGAGCAGAGCAAAUCUCAUCUGAAAAGCAAAAAGAAAAACAACGUGAAUAUUGGCGAAUGAAGAAGCAAGAAUGUCGGAAAAGGCAAAAUCUGCAAGACAAAAGAUGUGGUAAUGAAAAACAGAGACAACAAUAUAAACUUCGAGUCUCACUUGUCAACAAUGACAGGAAAGUAAACUCAUCAGAUGAAACAGAAUAUGAUGAUGAUGGUAAGCUUAUAGAAGUAUACAACGAUCACGCUGUAGAAUACGACAAUGAUGGUAAGCUUAUAGAAGUAUACAUCGAUCACGCUGCAGAAUACGAUGAUGAUUGGGAAGCAGAUGAAACACAGUACAAUGAUGGCAAUGGACGUGGCAAUUCAUUACGAAAAAGUAAGAGAAUCUCACACAUUUCUGACGAGGAAGAUGAAGGCAAGGUUUUAACUACAACUUCCGGAAAUUGUCUACAAAUAAAUAAAUAUGGAAGAAGAAUAAAGAAACUGAAGGAAAGAGAUGAAAUAGAAAAUUUUAGAACCCAAGAAUCAAUAAGGGCCAGCAUCUACAGACAAAGUCUUUCCAAUAAGAAGAAAGAAAUGGCUAAUAAAAAAGCUGCAGAAAGAAUGAGACGGUACAGACAGCGCAAAAGAGAAAACAAAAAUUGUAACCCAGAAAAAAGAACUCGAGCAGAGCCAAUCUCAUCUGAAAAGCAAAAAGAUAAACAACGUGAAUAUUGGAGAAUGAAGAAGAAAGAAUAUUGAAAAAGGCAAAAUCCACAAGUUGUAAUGAAAAACGGAGACGACAAUAUAAACUUCGAGUCUCACUCAUCAACAAUGACAGGAAAGUAAACUCAUCAGAUGAAACAGAAUAUGAUGAUGGUAAGCUUAUAGAAGUAUACAACGAUCGUGCUGUAGAAUACGACGAUGAUGGUAAGCUUAUAGAAUUAUACAACGAUCACGCUGUAGAAUACGACGAUGAUGGUAAGCUUAUAGAAGUAUACAACGAUCGUGCUGUAGAAUACGACGAUGAUGGUAAGCUUAUAGAAUUAUACAACGAUCACGCUGUAGAAUACGAUGAUGAUGGUAAGCUUAUAGAAGUAUACAACGAUCGUGCUGUAGAAUACGACGAUGAUGGUAAGCUUAUAGAAGUAUACAACGAUCACGCUGUAGAAUACGACGAUGAUGGUAAGCUUAUAGAAGUAUACAACGAUCGUGCUGUAGAAUACGACGAUGAUGGUAAGCUUAUAGAAGAAUACAACGAUCACCCUGAAGAGUGCGACGGUGACUGGGAACCAGAUUAAUGAUGAAGAAGAAUAUUUGAUCAGCUGAAAUGUUUUGGAAGAAAUAAAAGGCUAAAAAUAAAAAGAGAUAAAAUUGCUUGUAAUAAGGAGAGGUUAGAUGAGAUGUGUUUGCGAUGGUGGAAAACGUCACCCCGUACUAAAAUGAUCUAAGAUGACGAGAAAACACAGUACACAAUAGUGCUGGCACGAUAUAACAUUAAAUUGUAUCGCAAUUCACUUCUCCCGAUUUGUGUAUUGAAUCUCGAGAUUCUGAAUUGAUGUAUCAUGAUUCUUCUUUUAAGCGUUUAUUAUUUUUUUGUCGCUCUUAAUUAUCAACAGGUACACAAACACUCUUAAAUUGUUUUGGUCCUUAUUUCAAUCCACAUCAAAAUCAUGAUAUAAAACAGUUUUAUUUCUUCGACAUCGGUAGGACUAAAAUUAUCAAUUAUUCAUUUAUCCUGUUGUUUUCUUGGUAUAUAUUUACCUGGUUGUGAAUAGUGGUAUGAAUCCCAAUAGGUAUCAUGGCUGCAGUGUCAAUACCCAGCAUUAGUACACAAAUAACAAGAAACUGAAGAUCAGAUGAUACAACUGUUGAAGAAGAAAAUUCUGUAAGGGAAUUUUAUGUACCGAAUUCAGAAGCUAUUUCCACAAGAAACAUACUCAAAAGAGUAUUCUUCAUAGAUAAACGGUUACAAUACAUACAUACUAUGUAAAGAAAACCAACAAACCAUGAAGUUUCUAACUUAGACCAAGAAAAGCAAAAUUCCAUGUUUAUGUGAGAAAUGUGCGAAACAGUAAACAAAGUAUUGCAUAAAAAUUCAUUUAAUGUAUAAAAGACUGCUAUGUCCGUGUCGAACUGACUUUAUAGAAGACUAUCCAUUAUCAAAAUGUUUGAAUCGUCAGUGCAGUAAUUAUGGUGUUUAUUUAUUGGAAAGUUUAAACAGUAAAAGAAAAGUCUAUCUAACAAGAAAGAACAGGUUAAUGAGCAAAUGAGUUGAGAAAAUUUGUGAAUCACUACUCAAGGAUCUCUAAAACCAUUACUGGUACUGGGCGCCCAUUGUUUGUGCAGUUUUUCGUAGUCGGUACGAUAAAAAAACAUCUUUCAAAAAAUGUAUUCCAAUCGCUAAAUAUCGCAGGCUAGUGAUAAGAUCAAGAGUUGAUUAUGGUCUGGAUCAGUUAAUUAAUGUCUAUUUAAUAAUUUACAUAACAUUUCAGGCCUAAAGAAAGACCUGCGACAGGCAGUACAUGUAUGUUUAAACUAUUGGAGAUUGUGUCUUAACAAAGAAAUAUAAAUUACACUGAAGUUUCA